CUACGGGAGGCAGCAGUGGGGAAUAUUGCACAAUGGGGGAAACCCUGAUGCAGCGACGCCGCGUGAGUGAAGAAGUAUUUCGGUAUGUAAAGCUCUAUCAGCAGGGAAGAAAAUGACGGUACCUGACUAAGAAGCCCCGGCUAACUACGUGCCAGCAGCCGCGGUAAUA
rnacentral:rRNA from 1 species